UGUUUGUGUGUGUGUGUGUGUUUGUGGUGGGGGGGAGAUGGCGGUUGUACCGGUGAUAGGGAUCUAUUAUUACACAGGCUCAUAUCUAGACCCAAGCGUGAAGAAUCACACGUAGCACUCACCACACAGAGGCAAGUUCAACGUGUCAGAAGAUGCGACAGGAAGAAGAAUGGGCCACUUUGGACAGUAGGUGUGGUGGAAUGUGAAAUGGGGAGAGUUAUGAGGGCUGUUUAAACACAGAGGGGGACUGUUAAUGAGAGAGAGGAUGGAAAGAAAGAGAGAGGGAGAGAGAGGGAGGGAGAGAAAGACAGAUGGAUGUAGGCAGGCUAGAGGGACAAAUGCAGUUUAUUAACUCUCUCCAACCUCACCUUUCUCCAGUAGCUCUGAUGAGGUUAAUGAAAGCAUGAAAUGAAUCUGGUCUCCCAAUCUCCCCGCCCAACCUCUCUGUGGUGAGAGCUAACACUGCCAGUCUCCCCCGCGCCUCUGCUCAAGAGCCAUUUGUCCUCCGACCACUGCGGCUCAGUCUCCUUCAGGCCCAGGAUGCCUGUUUGUCAAUAAAGCACAGUCCCCUGCUUUAUAUCACCGCCCAAACCCACGCUAUAGGUAGCCCACACCUGCUUUGAACUUUUCUCUAAAUGCUUCAUUCAUUCAUUCGGGCGGCCGCUCUGGUAGCAUGUGGCCUGAAAUAGUGCUGUCAGUCUGGGGGUGAGGUGCCCUGCCUUAGAGGCAGAGAGCCCAGUGUGGAAGUGCAGCCUGUGUGUGUGUGUGUGUGUGUGUGUGUGUUUGUUGUGGAAGUGCAGCCUGUCAGGAUGACUGAGGGGUGUCUGGGCUAAUGUGUGUGAACUUAGCGCUGCCGUAGCAAGUAGCGCAUUCCUGGACAUCCCUGGCUUUUGAUGUCAUGUUUAUUGAAUUUAUUGUCAUGAACUACACUUUAAGGAGGAGGAGAGGAGGAUGAGAGGAGGAGGAGGAGGAGGAGGAGGAGUGAGGGAAAUGUGUUCACUGUAAAGAUUUAGCAAUGGAGGCGAUGGAGUUGGCUUUAUUCCCAAUGGUUGUGUUUUCUCUGUGUGUGAGUGUGUGUGUGCACACGCGCGCAUGUGUGUGUUCAUCUGUGGUGCGGGCCAGCUUGUGCUGCAGCUGUUUUCUCGGCAGCUCAAAUGAGGCGGAGGCUUUGUAGCCUGCACCCCCCCCCACCC
ensembl:lncRNA